GACGAACGCUGGCGGCGUGCCUAACACAUGCAAGUCGAACGGACGAGGCCCCUUCGGGGACCGAGUUAGUGGCGAACGGGUGAGUAACGCGUGAGCAACCUGCCUUUCAGAGGGGGACAACAGUUGGAAACGACUGCUAAUACCGCAUAACACAUUCGGGGGGCAUCCCCUGAAUGUCAAAGAUUUAUCGCUGAAAGAUGGGCUCGCGUCUGAUUAGCUAGUUGGUGAGGUAACGGCUCACCAAGGCGACGAUCAGUAGCCGGACUGAGAGGUUGAACGGCCACAUUGGGACUGAGAUACGGCCCAGACUCCUACGGGAGGCAGCAGUGGGGAAUAUUGGGCAAUGGGGGAAACCCUGACCCAGCAACGCCGCGUGAAGGAAGAAGGCUUUCGGGUUGUAAACUUCUUUUACCAGGGACGAAGACGUGACGGUACCUGGAGAAAAAGACCACGGCUAACUACGUG
rnacentral:rRNA from 1 species